rnacentral:rRNA from 1 species
AUUGAACGCUGGCGGCAUGCCUAACACAUGCAAGUCGAACGGUAACAGGCCCUUCGGGGUGCUGACGAGUGGCGGAUGGGUGAGUAAUACUUAGGAAUCUACCCUGUAGUGGGGGACAACCCGGGGAAACUCGGGCUAAUACCGCAUACGCUCUACGGAGGAAAGCGGGGGACCGCAAGGCCUCGCGCUAUUGGAUGAGCCUAAGCCCGAUUAGCUAGUUGGUGGGGUAAUAGCCUACCAAGGCAAUGAUCGGUAGCUGGUCUGAGAGGACGACCAGCCACACUGGGACUGACACACGGCCCAGACUCCUACGGGAGGCAGCAGGUGGGAAUAUUGGACAAUGGGCGAAAGCCUGAUCCAGCGAUGCCGCGUGUGUGAAGAA